GACGAACGCUGGCGGCGUGCUUAACACAUGCAAGUCGAACGGAAAGGCCCUGCUUGCAGGGUACUCGAGUGGCGAACGGGUGAGUAACACGUGGGUGAUCUGCCCUGCACUUCGGGAUAAGCCUGGGAAACUGGGUCUAAUACCGGAUAGGAGCCAUUUUUAGUGUGAUGGUUGGAAAGUUUUUUCGGUGUAGGAUGAGCUCGCGGCCUAUCAGCUUGUUGGUGGGGUAAUGGACUACCAAGGCGGCGACGGGUAGCCGGCCUGAGAGGGUGGACGGCCACAUUGGGACUGAGAUACGGCCCAGACUCCUACGGGAGGCAGCAGUGGGGAAUAUUGCACAAUGGGCGCAAGCCUGAUGCAGCGACGCCGCGUGGGGGAUGACGGCCUUCGGGUUGUAAACUCCUUUCGCUAGGGACGAAGCUUUUUGUGACGGUACCUAGAUAAGAAGCACCGGCUAACUACGUG
rnacentral:rRNA from 1 species